AUCACUUUGCUUUUGGAAGCUGUCCUGUUUUGGUGAUGACUUCUGGAACCAGGCUGGGUUGCUGCAUCUCCAUGGUGUGUGUUCAGACCAUUAGACAACAGGAUAAGAUUAACAGAAGAAGAAAGAAGACAACUUUAAUCAGAGCUUUGUGAAGUGUGCUAAUUAUCUUCAGGGAAUAAGAUGCCACAGUGAAAGACUGGUUUAAACUCCCUUUCCCGAGACUCUGGAGCUUGCAUUUGUUCUGAGUGAGCAGUGUAUUAGGGGAGCUCCUCUGGGAUUUGAUACAGCUACAUUUGAUAUUAUAAAGAAUUUAAAACUGGUAAUAAAUGUGUGCAUAUCUGUUCCUAAACAGCA